UGGCCUCAACUCAGGCAAGAGCACCCGCUGAACUUAAGCAUAUUAGUAAGCGGAGGAAAAGAAAACAACUGUGAUUCCCUCAGUAACUGCGAGUGAAGUGGGAAAAGCCCAACGUUGAAAUCUCUUUAGGCUUUGACUAAAGCGAGUUGUAACGUAUAGAUUGCCUCUUGAGCACAAACGAGUUACCCAAGUUCUCCGGACUGAGACGCCAUAGAGGGUGAUAGCCCCGUAGUUGGCAGCUUGUUUGUGUAUAAAAAGGUUAUUCCAAGAGUCGGGUUGUUUGGGAUUGCAACCUAAAGUAGGUGGUAAACUUCACCCAAGGCUAAAUACAGGCACGAAACCGAUAGCGAACAAGUACCGUGAGGGAAAGUUGAAAAGAACUCUGAAAAGAGAGUUAAAAGUACGUGAAACCGUUAACGGGGAAGCGGAAGGCUGUGUCGUGAUUUGUUAACCUUGUUGCACUUGCGAGUACACUCGAAAUGUAUUCACAAGUGUAAUUUAGUUGAUAGAUGCGUCUGACCUACUGGAGUGUGUCAAAGGCUAACUGUACAGUGUUAUCGCUGUCACUUGUUGUAGUGAAAACGCAGCAAAGUGUACUGGUAAUAUGUUGGAUAACUUUAUUGAUGCGCUCUGGUAUGAGACUUGUUUUGUGAUGUUAAAGUGUUUUAUGCAUGGUAUUUUGGCGUGUUUAACAUUGUUACACAUUGUUGUAGUGUGUUUGAUGGUGUGAAGCAUGUCACAGUAUGUUUAAUGUCAGAGUCAGACGAGAUACCAAACUUUCCGACCCGUCUUGAAACACGGACCAAGGAGGCUGAAGCUAGAGCGAGUCAAAAAGUGGCAAACUUUAUGGCGUAGUUAAAGCAAAUAAUGAGAUCCCCCUUUGAUCGCUUGUAGCAAUACAAGUGUUUUAAAUAAGGCGCAUCAUUAACCGGUUGUUUUUAUAAGCAAUUGAGUUGGAGCUCUAGCUGCAGGACCCGAAAGAUGGUGAACUAUGCAAGAACAGGAUGAAGCCAGAGGAAACUCUGGUGAAAGUCCAUACGCGAUUCUAACGUGCAAAUUGAUCGCAUGAUUUUUGUAUAGGGGCGAUAGACUAAUCGAACCAUCUAGUAGCUGGUUCCCUCCGAAAUUUCCCUCAGGAUCGCCGAGACAUGAGUACAGCUUCAUCGGGUAGAGCCAAUGAUUAGAGGAAUCGGGAAUAGAAUACUCUCGACCUAUUCUCAAACUAUCAACCGGUGAAAGGUUUGGUUACUUGAAUUUGAACCAAACCGUUGUUUAACGCUGAGUGUGUGUGUCUCGAGUGGGCCAUUUUUGGUAAGCAGAACUGGCGAUGCGGGAUGAACCGAAAGCUAAGCUAAGGUGCCAAAGAACACGUCGAUAGAUACCACAAAAGGAGUCGGUCGAUAAAGACAGCAGGGCGGUGGCCCUGACAGUAGGAAUCCGCUAAGGAGUGUCUAACAACUCACCUGCCGAAUCGACCGGCCCUGAAAAUGGAUGGCGCUGAAGCGUGUCACCGAUGCUUGGCCGUUGAGGCUAGAAAUGUUCACCUCAACGGGUAGGAGGGCGAAACGGUAGCGACGAAGAGUUGAACGUAAGUUAACUUUGAGCUGCCGUUUGUGCGGAUCUUGGUGGUAGUAGCAUUUAUUUAACUGAGGAGUUAAAGGCCGAAGUGGAGAAGGGUUCCACGUGAACAGUAAUUGGACGUGGGUUAGUCGGUCCUAAGCGGUUGCCUAAUGGCUAUUCCAACGCAGACGUAUUACGUGCUUUACGUGUCUGAGUUCCGCGAAAGGGAAUCAGGUUAAUAUUCCUGAACCAGGUGACGGAGAACUUUAGCAUUGUGUAUACGCGCAAGUGUGUGUAUGAUGCUAAAGAAAGCGGUAACGCAAACAAUCUCAGAAACAUUAACGGCUGUCAUAGGAAGAGUUAUCUUUUCUGCAUAACAAAUUAAAGCCCUGGAAUCGAGUCGUGCGGAGAUAGGGCCUAAAAUUUGGAAGAGCAUUGCAAUAAAAGUAAUGUCUGUGACACAGCCGUUGAUCCAUGAAAAUCUGAGGGAGUAGUUUAUUUUCGCACCUGUCCGUACCGAAACCGCAUCAGGUCUCCAAGGUGAACAGCCUCUGGCACUGGAACAAUGUGGGUAAGGGAAGUCGGCAAAAUAGAUCCGUAACUUUGGGAAAAGGAUUGGCUCUAAGGACCAGACCAGUUGGGCUAGUAUCUAAGUUACAUUGACGCAUUGAACGUGGGUAAUUCGCCUUGUGUGAUGUUACUUGUGUAAUAUGUGUUGGUGUAACUUGGUGCGUGCUUGGUUUAAAAGUGGAGAUGUGAGUUUAUUCGCAUGUCUCAACCAACACUUUUGCUCCUUUACAAAUGGUUAGCAUUGGUCAACUUAGAACUGUUACUGACAUGGGGAAUCCGACUGUUUAAUUAAAACAAAGCAUUGCGAUGGCCGGGAACGGUGUUGACGCAAUGUGAUUUCUGCCCAGUGCUCUGACUGUCAAAGUGCGGA